AUUGAACGCUGGCGGCAUGCCUUACACAUGCAAGUCGAACGGUAACAGGUCUUCGGAUGCUGACGAGUGGCGAACGGGUGAGUAAUACAUCGGAACGUGCCCGAUCGUGGGGGAUAACGAAGCGAAAGCUUUGCUAAUACCGCAUAAGAUCUAAGGAUGAAAGCAGGGGACCGCAAGGCCUUGCGCGAACGGAGCGGCCGAUGGCAGAUUAGGGAGGUGGGGGGAUAAAAGCUUACCAAGCCGACGAUCGGUAGCUGGUUUGAGGGGACGACCAGCCACACUGGGCAUGAGAGACGGCCAAGACUCCUGCGGGAGGCAGCAGUGGGGAAUUUUGGAGAAUGGGCGAAAGCCUGAUCCAGCCAUGCCGCGUGCAGGAUGAAGGCCUUCGGGUUGUAAACUGCUUUUGUACGGAACGAAAAGACUCUUUCUAAUAAAGAGGGUCCAUGACGGUACCGUAAGAAUAAGCACCGGCUAACUACGUGCCAGCCGCCGCCGUAAUAC
rnacentral:rRNA from 1 species